UUUCAGAAAAAUGAGAGGAGGUAGGAGUCCGAGAGGCAACAUGAACUUUGAACUCUGUUUUUAUACGUUUUCCACCUAUUUUUACGUUCAGAAUUCAUGUGUUCAGAAUUGUUUUGUAACAUUUUUAAUCAGUUUCUUCUUGUCUUCCAUUUGUUUUCUACAGAGAGGAGAGGACUGGAGACAAUGUGAAGUUUGAACACUCAUUUUAAAUUCAGAUACAGUAUACUUAUGAUAUGGUCAUAUUUCAUCUGAUGACAUAUUGCUCAUCUGUUCAUCUGGUUUUUCAUACUUUGAACAUUGAUCUCCAUCGUCUGAUUGCUCUUUCUUUGUUGUUUUUUUCUUUUUCUUUUUCAGAAAAAUGAGAGGAGAAAAAUGAGAGGAGAAAAAUGAGAGGAGGUAGGAGUCCGAGAGGCAACAUGAACUUUGAACUCUGUUUUUAUACGUUUUCUACCUAUUUUUACGUUCAGAAUUCAUGUGUUCAGAAUUGUUUUGUAACAUUUUUAAUCAGUUUCUUCUCGUCUUCCAUUUGUUUUCUACAGAGAGCAGAGGACUGGAGACAAUGUGAAGUUUGAACACUCAUUUUAAAUUCAGAUACAGUAUACUUAUGAUAUGGUCAUAUUUCAUCUGAUGACAUAUUGCUCAUCUGUUCAUCUGGUUUUUCAUACUUUGAACAUUGAUCUCCAUCGUCUGAUUGCUCUUUCUUUGUUGUUUUUUUCUUUUUCUUUUUCAGAAAAAUGAGAGGAGAAAAAUGAGAGGAGAAAAAUGAGAGGAGGUAGGAGUCCGAGAGGCAACAUGAACUUUGAACUCUGUUUUUAUACGUUUUCUACCUAUUUUUACGUUCAGAAUUCAUGUGUUCAGAAUUGUUUUGUAACAUUUUUAAUCAGUUUCUUCUCGUCUUCCAUUUGUUUUCUACAGAGAGCAGAGGACUGGAGACAGUGUGAAGUUUGAACACUCAUUUUAAAUUCAUAUACAGUAUACUUAUGAUAUGGUCAUAUUUCAUCUGAUGACAUAUUGCUCAUCUGUUCAUCUGGUUUUUCAUACUUUGAACAUUGAUCUCCAUCGUCUGAUUGCUCUUUCUUUGUUGUUUUUUUCUUUUUCUUUUUCAGAAAAAUGAGAGGAGGUAGGAGUUCGAGAGGCAACAUGAACUUUGAACUCUGUUUUUAUACCUUUUCUACGUUCUUUUACGUUCAGAAUUCAUGUGUUCAGAAAUAUUUCAACUGCUUAUUUUGUAACAUUUUUAACUUUGAACACUGAUCUCCAUCUUCUGACAAUAUUGUUUUCCUUUUUCUUUCUUUCUCUUUUUCAGAAAAAUGAGAGGAG